ACGGGAGGCAGCAGUGGGGGAUAUUGCACAAUGGGGGAAACCCUGACGCAGCGACGCCGCGUGAGUGAUGAAGUAUUUCGGUAUGUAAAGCUCUAUCAGCAGGGAAGAAAAUGACGGUACCUGACUAAGAAGCACCGGCUAAAUACGUGCCAGCAGCCGCGGUAAUACGUAUGGUGCAAGCGUUAUCCGGAUUUACUGGGUGUAAAGGGAGCGUAGACGGAUGGCUAAGUCUGAUGUGAAAGGUGAGGGCUCAACCCUUAAACUGCAUUGGAAACUGGUCAUCUAGAGUGUCGGAGAGGUAAGUGGAAUUCCUAGUGUAGCGGUGAAAUGCGUAGAUAUUAGGAGGAACACCAGUGGCGAAGGCGGCUUACUGGACGAUAACUGACGUUGAGGCUCGAAAGCGUGGGGAGCAAACAGGAUUAGAUACCCUGGUA
rnacentral:rRNA from 1 species